UGUUUCGGCUAGGGGGCCAUCCCGGCUUACCAACCCGAUGCAAACUGCGAAUACCGGAGAAUGUUAUCACGGGAGACACACGGCGGGUGCUAACGUCCGUCGUGAAGAGGGAAACAACCCAGACCGCCAGCUAAGGUCCCAAAGUCAUGGUUAAGUGGGAAACGAUGUGGGAAGGCCCAGACAGCCAGGAUGUUGGCUUAGAAGCAGCCAUCAUUUAAAGAAAGCGUAAUAGCUCACUGGUCGAGUCGGCCUGCGCGGAAGAUGUAACGGGGCUAAACCAUGCACCGAAGCUGCGGCAGCGACGCUGAUGCGUUGUUGGGUAGGGGAGCGUUCUGUAAGCCUGCGAAGGUGGCCUGUGAGGGUUGCUGGAGGUAUCAGAAGUGCGAAUGCUGACAUAAGUAACGAUAAAGCGGGUGAAAAGCCCGCUCGCCGGAAGACCAAGGGUUCCUGUCCAACGUUAAUCGGGGCAGGGUGAGUCGACCCCUAAGGCGAGGCCGAAAGGCGUAGUCGAUGGGAAACGGGUUAAUAUUCCCGUACUUGGUGUUACUGCGAAGGGGGGACGGAGAAGGCUAUGUUGGCCGGGCGACGGUUGUCCCGGUUUAAGCGUGUAGGUGUGUGUUCCAGGUAAAUCCGGUUCACUUUAACACUGAGGCGUGAUGACGAGGCACUACGGUGCUGAAGCAACAAAUGCCCUGCUUCCAGGAAAAGCCUCUAAGCAUCAGGUAACAU
rnacentral:rRNA from 1 species